rnacentral:rRNA from 1 species
UACGUAGGGGGCAAGCGUUGUCCGGAAUCAUUGGGCGUAAAGAGCGUGUAGGCGGCCCGGUAAGUCCGCUGUGAAAACUCGGGGCUCAACUCCGAGCUUGCAGUCGAUACGGGCAGGCUAGAGUUCGGCAGGGGAGACUGGAAUUCCUGGUGUAGCGGUGAAAUGCGCAGAUAUCAGGAGGAACACCGGUGGCGAAGGCGGGUCUCUGGGCCGAUACUGACACUGAGGAGCGAAAGCGUGGGGAGCGAACAGG